CAGCAUCGGCGGAGAAGAAAAGAGUUGACGUUUCGAGUCCUCAUGACCCUUCAACAGAACUUGAGUUCGAGUUUUAUUGCUUGUUUAUUCUGGAUAUUUGAAUUUGAUGUGUAAGACUUUUUAAGGUGUGGAUGUGAAUUAGGAAAAUGCUGCCCCUGGGGAAGAUGCUGUGCACUGGACUCUUGCUGCAUUUUGAACUGAUCAACUUUAAUUACCAUUCCGGAGAGCUGUAAUAAGACAAGGAUCAAGAAGUUCUGCAAUUGAAGAAAAUUUGCAACUCUGAUAGUGCACAUAUGGAGAAGGAGCAGGAGUAGGCCAUUUGGCCC